AAUCGAGGUAGACGGGGACGUUCAGUUGUUCAGCGACUGAAGCCAGUUCGUCGAGCAUGGAUUGCAUCAGUUCAGCGUCGGGGCUCUGUUG
rnacentral:tRNA from 1 species